UACAUAAAAUUGUGUAAAAAUUUCAAUGAUUUUCCAAGUUUUAGCUGAAUUGCUACGUAAGAUUGACAUACUCACUACAUUCUAAACCCAAUUCAAGCUUUUUAUUUAUGUUGAUAUACGGAGUUACCGAUCGUAAACUUGCACUAGAAUUUAUUGCAAACUUCCAUCUCCUAUGAUUUUGGGAUUAUGUGAGAUGAGCUCAACGUAACGUGUGUAUAUAAUCAAGCCAAGUGCAUAUAAUUUACAUGAACUAAUCACUUUAGGUUAGUUGGUGAACAUCCCACAAGCAUGCACAACAGCAUAUACUGCAAUAUAAAUGACAAAGCUUUCUUAUUUGUCGUCAUAUGGCUAAGGUGAGGGACUGAUGCGACAGAUUGUUAGACAUAAUUAUUCCUAGAUCUUUGAAAUUUUUCGUAACUUUGAGUGGUUUUCCAAAGAGGUUGUACGUAGGUACUGAGAAAUCUCGGUGGUUGGGUUAUUCUCAUUACCUCAUUCUUGUGAAGGUGGAGGAGAGGUAAUGGGGGGGGGGGCUUAAGAGAAGGUAUAUAUUAGAGGGAGAGGGGC